UUAUAUUUCAACAAACCAUUUUUCAGAAAUAAUUAAAUACCUCUUGAUAUAUGUGCAUUAUGCCCGUUAUCGCGCUCGAUUUUUCACGCGUUUUGUUCGCAACUUCCCGAUAGAAGAUGACGAUGCCAAUUAAUUUUGAAGGACAUAAUAUGCAAUUCAUAAUCUCGCACAAAUAUCGCUAGACAUAACAGACAUAAAUAUGUACUAUUAUGAAUCAAAAUACGAAAGUUCAAUGUGAAUGGCAGACGGUCAAAGACUAAUCCAAGAGUGAUGAUACAUCGAACAUGUAUUUGAAAUGUUUAUGUAGGCAUAUAUAUAUAUAUAUAUGUUGUACACAGUGUUGGGUAUAAAGAUACUUUUAAAAUGUAUCUCGAUAUAGAUACAGAUACAGAUACACAAAUCAAAAUGUAUAUAGAUACAGAUACUCAGAUACUUUAAAAUUAUCUCGGAUACGUAUCAGAUACUCUUGAAUUAUUCAAAUAAAAGAAUCUGAAAAAUUCAAAUGUUUGUGCGCAACACGAAAAGUGCAUUAUAAAAUAAAUAAUUACAUUUUUGUGUUGCGCACAAAUACCUGUCGCUAAACUUUUACUGUCUUUUCCGAAUUUUUUAUUUGUUUGUUGAGUCGUUGAGUAAACUGCGUUUCUCGUCUUUUAAAUUAUAUUUUAUUGUAAUUAUGAUAAUAAUAUUAAUAAUGUAUGUAAUAUGCACAAAAUAUAAUGAUUCUAUAGACUAGAUAGUCAGUUAUUUCAUACAUAAGUACUAUUUGCGCAAAUCUAAAUGGCGCUACCGACAGUAAUAGCAAAUCAAAAAUGACCUUAAAAAAACUUUUUUUCCAAUAGAGACAAAAAGUACGUGAAAAUUUAUUUGAAAAUGUAUCUGAAAAUGUAUCUGAAAAGCAGUUCAAAUACUGUGUUUUGUAUCUAGAUACAGAUACAAAUACUCCAAUUCAAAUGUAUCUCAGAUACAGGUUCAGAUAUAUAAAAUGUAUCUCUAUACAUGUAUCUAAAUACAUGUAUAGAGAUACUACCCAACACUGCAUAUAUUGUAUACAUGGAAAAAAGAAUAUUAAAGUAUAAGACAAUAUUAAUAUUAAUUAAUAAUAAUGAAAUAAAAUUAUUAUUGUUAUUAUAUACUAUUAUUGAUGUUAAUAUUAAUAAUAUUAAUGACAUUAAUAUUUUUACAUAAAAUAUGCAGAAUAUCAAAUAAAAAUAUUUCUAAUUUGAAGUACCACAAGAUUGAUCAUAGUUAUUAAUUAUGGUCGCGUAGCUUUAUAGAAUGCAUGAUGUACUUAUUUAUUACUUAUUGUUUUAUAUAGAAGUGGAAUUUCAGUAUAUUAUUAGUAAUUGUCAUUUUUCUACAGCUUGUUGAUUACAUUUCAAACUUGCGAUAAAGAUUGAAUCGUUGCAAAAAUUAAAGUCAAUAACUACGGAAAUUUUCAAAGUAUACUAGAUAUUGUUAGAACACUGAUAUAAAAUGCUGCCGCUUUGCGAGCACUAUCUUAUUGUGUGACAUCAUUUAGUCGUGUACUAUUGAUUGCUGGAUGUGCUUUUGGGAGUAAAAUGUUCUUCAACCCGAGAAAUGUAAUAGUGUUGUUGUUCAGCGCAGCAAUUUUUAAUUUACCAAAAACUCCUGUGACAAGACAAGAAAUUCAAGUAAAGGAGAAACUGGAAAAUAUGUUACAAAAAAUGCAUAAUGAGAAUUUUGAAAUUGAAGAGGAAGAGUUAUUAGACUUUGAAAAUUAUUUAAUAUAACAGAAGCAGAUUUAGUAAAGGAAGAAGGAAAUGAAGAAGAAAGAUUUGUGUAAAGGAAUUAUGUAAAGGAAAUGAUAUGUGUAAAUGAUGAAAUUCCAAUCGAAUAUAAAAGAAGUGUUGUUAACUUUUGGAAA